CGAGUGGGAGCGCCCCGCGCGGCGCCGCUGCCGCAGAGGGCCGGGGACGCGACGGCCACCGCCAAGUGGGAGACUCCUGGAAGGUGGGGGCGGAGAGGAAGCGAAGAGGCCGCGAUUUCUUGCCUGGCAGUCGGCGUGGGGGUGGGGGCGAGGGGGAUAAAUAAAUUAAUAAUUCAAUACCGAAAGCCACCCGCUUCCGACUGCAGCGAAUCCAGGCCGGUGCCAGCAGCGGCUUCUUUCUCAAGAUAAUUGCUAUCCACUGGGAUAAAGCUCAAUAUCCAGUUCAGGAAAUGGGAAACACUGAUAUAUGACUCAUCCCAUGGAACAGAAUAUAGUCUACGUGGAAUGUCACACUGUGCUUCUAGUGGCAAAGUUUGCAUAUAUGUAUGUAUCAGUGUAUCUUUAAAUUUGCCUUUGUGUUGCAAGCACUUGUUAUAUCCUUCCUAUUAUUCCUAUUAUUUAAAUCAAUUUUUAUUUUGCAAGACUACUGGUAAAGAUUUUGGAAUGAAAUGUUUCUGGGGAACCGAGUCACCCUAAUUUAAAAAAUAAAAAUAUCUCAGUAAUUUGGACAAUAGGUUUAAUGUAUGAGGUUAAAUAUAUACCUGCUUAUUAUAAAUAUGCAGAAUCAUUUCUUGUUUAGAAAAUAUUUCAAAUAUUUUAUGGAAUAAUUACAGAUUAUUUGUGUUCAGUUGGCAAUGUUCUAGCCGAACAACUUAUAAUUAAAAAUGUAAAUAAAGAAGUGUCAUUAGUCUAAAAA
rnacentral:lncRNA from 1 species